AGCAUUGUUUUAAUGCUUUGAUGAAGCUCAGCACGCUGCCGAAAUCUCGGCAGUAUUUUUUCUUUUCUUUUUGCAUGUGAGAGAAAGGACAACAAAUUGCAGUUUUAUCCAUUUGUAUUAUUUCUUUAGAAAACUCAACACUCUUUUUGUUGGAGGUGGGGAAAUGAGAAGGUGAUGUUUUGUUUUGCUUUUUUUCCUAUUUUUUUUUUUUAAAGGAGGAGAAGAUGACAGUGUUCUCCCUAAGGAUGAAGUUUGACUUUUGAAACAUAUCACAUGCUUAAAGCACGUUUGAGCUCCUGCAUGAACAGUAAGCUAGCAGAUGGUAGAAAUAUUCUUUAUUAAUUCAAAAAAUAUUUACUGCGGACCUACAAUGUGCCAAGCAUGUCUCCUGACACUGGGGAUAAGCAGUGAACAACAACAAAAAGACAAACUUCUUCCACCCUGAGGCGUAUGUUCUAGGUCUUUGUGGGAAGAAACAAAUCACAAAAGCAAUUAAGAGAGCUCAAACAAUGGGUUACUCUCAUCUGGAUUAUUGUAGUCACCUUGUCACUGGUAUCUCUGCUUUCUCCUAACCCCCAUCUAAUCUCCAAAAAAU
rnacentral:antisense_RNA from 1 species